UCUGAAUGGGGAAACCCACCGACUUUCGGGUCGGUAUCUUACACUGAAUCCAUAGGUGUAAGAGGCGAACUCGGGGAACUGAAACAUCUAAGUACCCGAAGGAAAAGAAAUCAACCGAGAUUCCCUCAGUAGCGGCGAGCGAACGGGGACCAGCCCUUAAGCUGGACAACUGGUAGGAGAAGGCCCUGGAAAGAGCCGCCAUAGUGGGUGAUAGCCCCGUAUCCGAAACCUGAGUCCAGUGAAAUCGAGUAGGACGGGUCACGUGUAAUCCUGUCUGAACAUGGGGGGACCAUCCUCCAAGGCUAAAUACUCCUGACUGACCGAUAGUGAACCAGUACCGUGAGGGAAAGGCGAAAAGAACCCCUGUGAGGGGAGUGAAAUAGACCCUGAAACCGUAUGCGUACAAGCAGUCGGAGCGGACUUGUUCCGUGACGGCGUACCUUUUGUAUAAUGGGUCAGCGACUUAUGUUCAGUGGCGAGGUUAACCGUAUAGGGGAGCCGUAGGGAAACCGAGUCUGAAUAGGGCGACUUAGUCGCUGGGCAUAGACCCGAAACCGGGCGAUCUAUCCAUGAGCAGGGUGAAGGUGCCGUAACAGGCACUGGAGGCCCGAACCCACUGUCGUUGAAAAGCCAGGGGAUGACUUGUGGAUCGGAGUGAAAGGCUAAUCAAGCCCGGAGAUAGCUGGUUCUCCCCGAAAGCUAUUUAGGUAGCGCCUCGGACGAAUACCACUGGGGGUAGAGCACUGUUUCGGCUAGGGGGUCAUCCCGACUUACCAACCCGAUGCAAACUCCGAAUACCAGUGAGUACUAUCCGGGAGACACACGGCGGGUGCUAACGUCCGUCGUGAAGAGGGAAACAACCCAGACCGCCAGCUAAGGUCCCCAAGUACCAGUUAAGUGGGAAACGAUGUGGGAAGGCUCAGACAGCUAGGAGGUUGGCUUAGAAGCAGCCAUCCUUUAAAGAAAGCGUAAUAGCUCACUAGUCGAGUCGGCCUGCGCGGAAGAUGUAACGGGGCUCAAACUGGUCACCGAAGCUGCGGCUGCAUACGCAAGUAUGCGGGGUAGGGGAGCGUUCUGUAAGCCUG
rnacentral:rRNA from 1 species